UUUCACGUUCUCUUCGCAAUUUCCAUUACAGCCGCUAGGUUUCCGUCCACUUCUUCUUCUCCAUUAAUAUCUGUAUGGUGUUCUUCUUUUUUGAAUUCUAGAUUUUUUCUUUGAAUUCUUGUUAAUCUUUAAUUUUCUUUGUUUAAAUCAAGAAAUUAGCUUCUUCUGAAGUCAGGGUGGGGAUUUUUGGAUCGUGUCAAAGUGUGUUAGAGGGUGAUUAUCUUUUGAUUCACUUGUUUUUUUGCUUCUUUUGAGGGGGUAGCCGGGGCCUCGGCCUCGGCGGGUUUUAAUAGCCCCCAACUAUUACAACAUUGGGAAGAAGAACAUCAAUCUGUACAAACCCUUAAGUUAGUUUUUCUUUUUAAUUCUUUGAUUCUUUCUUCUUAACAAAUCAAAACAGAUCGGGGAAGAGAUGCCGGCCUUAGGUUGUUGUGUAGACGCUUCUGUUUCCCCUCCUCUCGGCUAUGCCUUUUCUUGGGAUAGCUCUCUUCCCGCGCCGGAGUUGUUUUCCUCCGGCGUACCUCCGGCGACAAACGCCGCCGCCGUUUCCACCGGUUCUCAUUGGUCUACGGAUCUGUCAUCUGAUUUGUACCGGGUAGAUGGGUGGGGUGCUCCUUAUUUCUCCGUGAACUCUUCCGGGGAUAUUUCCGUCCGUCCACAUGGUACGGAUACUCUUCCUCACCAGGAGAUUGACCUUCUUAAGGUUGUGAAGAAGGCUUCUGACCCGAAAAAUUUGGGCGGACUUGGGCUCCAGAUGCCUCUUGUUGUCCGUUUUCCUGAUGUUCUGAAGAACCGUUUGGAGACUCUGCAAUCGGCUUUUGACAUGGCGAUUAAUUCUCAAGGCUAUGAGGCUCACUAUCAAGGUGUUUAUCCGGUGAAAUGCAAUCAAGAUAGGUUCGUGGUGGAGGAUAUCGUGAAAUUCGGGUCGCCAUACCGAUUCGGGCUGGAAGCCGGGUCUAAACCGGAGCUCCUGUUGGCGAUGAACUGUCUGUCAAAGGGCAGUGCUGAUGCUCUUCUUGUUUGCAAUGGUUUCAAGGACACUGAGUAUAUUUCGCUUGCUUUGGUCGCAAGAAAGCUCCUUUUGAACAGUGUGAUUGUGCUUGAACAAGAGGAGGAGCUUGACCUGAUGAUUGAUAUCAGCCGUAAGAUGUCUGUCCGGCCUGUAAUUGGACUUCGUGCUAAGCUCAGGACAAAGCAUUCUGGCCAUUUUGGAUCCACUUCUGGUGAAAAGGGUAAGUUUGGGUUGACAACAACCCAGAUUCUUCGUGUAGUGAAGAAGCUUGAUGAAUCUGGAAUGCUGGAUUGUCUCCAGUUAUUGCAUUUUCACAUUGGAUCUCAGAUCCCCACAACAGAGUUGCUUGCUGAUGGUGUUGGUGAGGCCACUCAGAUUUACUCUGAAUUAGUCCGUCUUGGAGCUGGUAUGAAAUUCAUUGAUAUCGGAGGGGGGCUUGGAAUCGACUAUGACGGUUCUAAAUCAAGCAAUUCUGAUGUCUCUGUUUGCUAUAGCAUUGAAGAAUAUGCCUCUGCUGUUGUCCAAGCGGUCCUCUAUGUCUGUGAUCGUAAGGGCGUAAAGCAUCCAGUAAUUUGCAGCGAAAGUGGCAGGGCAAUUGUUUCUCACCAUUCAAUUCUGAUUUUUGAAGCCGUGUCUGCUUCUACUAGUCAUGUUUCUACACAGCCAUUUUCGGGUGGUUUACAAUCUUUGGUGGAGACUCUCAAUGAAGAUGCCCGUGCUGACUACAGAAACUUAUCUGCUGCUGCUGUCCGUGGAGAAUAUGAUACAUGUCUCAUCUAUUCUGAUCAGUUGAAACAGAGAUGUGUUGAACAGUUCAAAGAUGGGUCCUUGGAUAUUGAGCAGCUCGCUGCAGUGGAUAGCAUUUGUGAUUGGGUGUCGAAGGCUAUCGGGGUUGCUGAUCCUGUCCGCACUUACCAUGUGAAUCUGUCAGUUUUCACCUCAAUCCCUGAUUUUUGGGGCUUCAGCCAAUUGUUUCCUAUUGUUCCAAUUCACCGUCUGGAUGAAAAGCCUACAAUGAGAGGAAUAUUGUCUGACCUGACGUGUGACAGUGAUGGAAAGGUUGAUAAGUUCAUUGGGGGCGAAUCAAGCUUGCCGCUCCAUGAAAUUGGAAGUGGUGAUGGUGGGCGGUAUUAUCUGGGGAUGUUUUUGGGUGGGGCUUAUGAGGAGGCGCUCGGAGGACUCCACAAUCUAUUUGGUGGACCAAGCGUUGUUCGGGUGAUGCAGAGCGAUAGCCCUCACAGCUUUGCGGUGACUCGCUCUGUCCCUGGUCCAUCGUGUGCUGAUGUGCUCCGGGCGAUGCAGUUUGAGCCUGAACUCAUGUUCGAGACUCUCA
rnacentral:misc_RNA from 1 species